UUUCCACAUCCCUAACAGCAGCUCCCGAAUCCCUGCGUCUCCCGCCCCAGGCUGAACCUUCCCUCUCCUUCCUCUCGCAGAUUACACUCUCUGGCCUUUCUGGGUCGACACACACGUAGACCCUCCGUUCCAUAAGAGCAGGUGAGGUAGGGACAGGGAAGACUGGGGCGAGAUAGGACCCAGCCAGGGCUGAGCGCACUCUUGCCCUCUCCAGUGAUGGAACUGUACGAGAUAGGCGGGGCCAAGACGUCCGACUGUACCCAGAGGUGCCUGAGGUCCUAAAACGAUUGCAGAGCCUUGGGGUGCCCGGUGCGGCUGCUUCAAGGACAAGUGAGAUAGAAGGGGCCAACCAGCUACUGGAGCUCUUUGACCUCUUCAGGUACUUUGUUCAUCGGGAAAUCUAUCCAGGCAGCAAGAUCACACACUUUGAGAGGUGUUACCUGCAUUCACAUCCAGAAUGGAAUGAAUCUUCAAACUCUAAGUCAAGGGUUAGAGACAUUUGCGAAGGCCCAAACUGGGCCUUGAGGUCCAGCCUUGAGGAGAGCCCAUUUGAGGCCUAAACUGAAAGGAAAUCAAGAAGGCAUUUUCAGGUGCAUUUGUAAUUUAUUAAAGUUCAUCUGUGUGUGACAGAAGA
rnacentral:sRNA from 1 species